rnacentral:misc_RNA from 1 species
CGACCUCGAGCGUAGCUUGGUGUUGAGGAUUGCAGCAGCAUCCUUUAAAAGCAUUGGCGGCAGCGCAGCUCAAUCGCAACAAAAUGCGUGCAAAGCAGCCAACUGCCCGCCAAAACAAACCCCUCACAGGGUAACUUUACCA